AGACCCUGGUCUGCACCUCUAUC
rnacentral:miRNA from 1 species